CAGAAGAGGCUUCCACUGAAGGCCUACUUCCCGUACGCUCCUCCCUCUCUGAUCGUGGCCCUGGCCCGACACCCCGAAGAUUCAUCGCCCGACCUGUGGGGUGGGCGGGUGAAGAUCAUCGCUGAGAUGCUUGAGGAGACCAUCACAGCCCCCAGGGCCUGGUCUUGUAUGGCAGGAGGAGGAGAAGGAGAAGGAAGAGG